rnacentral:rRNA from 1 species
CCGUUACGCCUUGACGAGUAGGAGGGUCGCGGCGGUGUGCACUGAAGGGUCACGGCGUGAGCCGGCCUGGAGCCGCCGUCGGCGCAAAUCUUGGUGGUAGUAGCAAAUACUCCAGCGAGGACCUGGAGGACUGACGUGGAGAAGGGUUUCUUGUGAACAGCUGUUGCACAAGAGUCAGUCGACCCUAAGCCCUAGGAGAAAUCCUAUGUCGAUGGGUUGCCGAAGUGCUUGAAUUCCAUCCAACACACGCCUCGCCACAGUGCGGACGAAUGCCAUGAUGCGGCCAGUCGGCGCCCACGGGGCGAAAGGGAAUCCGGUUCCUAUUCCGGAACCCGGUAGCGGAACCGUUCCAAUGCCGGCCCUCAUUGAGUGCUCGUCCGGGUAACCCAAAGAGACCCGGAGACGCCGUCGGGAAAUCCGGAGAGAGUUUUCUUUUCUCUAUAAGCCUUCCAGUUCCCUGGAAUCCUUUAGCAGGGAGAUAGGGUUUGGAACGCGAAGAGCACCGCAGUUGCGGCGGUGUCCGGAUCUUCCCCUCGGACCUUGAAAAUCCGGGAGAGGGCUACGUGGAAAGUUCGCACCGGAUCGUACCN